GACGAAGGGGGCUAGCGUUGCUCGGAAUUACUGGGCGUAAAGCGCGUGUAGGCGGUUAUCCCAGUCGGGCGUGAAAGCCUUGAGCUCAACUCAAGAAAUGCGCUCGAUACUGGAUGACUAGAGGACCGGAGAGGAUAGUGGAAUUCCCAGUGUAGUGGUGAAAUACGUAGAGAUUGGGAAGAACACCAGUGGCGAAGGCGGCUAUCUGGACGGUUACUGACGCUAAGACGCGAAAGCGUGGGGAGCAAACAGG
rnacentral:rRNA from 1 species